rnacentral:rRNA from 1 species
AUGAAGCGCUCCAGGGAGGACGCGCUCGCCGCCGCCGGGUCGCAGCCCAGCAAGCGCAUCACCACCAGCAGCGCCGCCGUCGCUCGAUCCGAUCCGUCGCCGCCGCAGCCCAUGCCUCCGGCGGGGUCGGGGUCGGCCCUGGUGCCGGCGCCGCCGCCCCAGGCCGUGGCCGCCCUGCCGACGCAGCCCUCCGGCGGGUCUGGGGCCGCCACUGCUGCCGCGGCCGCCGCCGCAGGCCAGAAGCUGACGACCAACGACGCCCUCGUCUACCUCAAGGCCGUCAAGGACAAGUUCCAGGACAACCGCGCCAAGUACGAGGAGUUCCUCGAGGUCAUGCGCGACUUCAAGAGCGAGAGGAUCGACACCAACGGGGUGAUUAUCCGCGUGAAGACCCUCUUCAACGGGUACCCCGAGCUGAUCCUGGGAUUCAACACCUUCUUGCCCAAGGGCUUUGCAAUCAGGCUGCAGCAGGAUGAGAAGAAGCCUGUGGAUUUCGCGGAGGCUAUCAACUUCGUGAACAAGAUUAAGAGUCGGUUCCAGCGCGACGAGCAUGUCUACAAGUCGUUCCUGGACAUCCUCAACAUGUACCGCAAGGAUAACAAGUCCAUCCAAGAUGUUUACCAUGAGGUUGCUGUGCUGUUCAGCGACCACAAAGACUUGCUCGAAGAAUUCCAGCACUUCUUGCCUGAUACCUCGGUGUCUCCGCAAGCAGGGGCCGCUCCAAGAGGCGGCUUAGUUAAGCGGGAAGCUCUAAUGCCCCCUGCUAGUAGGGGUCACAUUGAAAAGCCUAGGGCUUUUCCGUCUCAUACCGACCGUGACGCCAGUGUCGAUCGUCCUGACGUGGACCAUGAUCGCCAAAGACAACGGGAGAAGAACAAGGAACGCAAGGCAGAAAGAGAUAGAAGAGAUUAUGAUAGAGAUGAGAAGGAUGUUGAACAAGACAGCAAAGAGGUGGAUGUUGGCCAGCGUAAGCGCAAACCUUUUCCAAGCGCAAACCUUGCAGGUGCUGAGGCACACCAAGGAGGCCACCCUGAGAUUCAUGGAAUUAAUAGUGCCUCUGCCUCAUCGUAUGAUAACAAGGACGCGUUAAAGAGUGGAUACACACAGGAGUUCCAUUUCUGCGAAAAAGUCAAGGAGAAGCUGGAAUAUGAUGCUUACCAGGAGUUCUUGAAAUGCCUUCACAUCUACAGCCAGGAAAUUAUUACGAGAAGUGAACUGAAGAACUUGGUGAGCGAUAUACUACAACACUACCCAGAUCUUAUGGAUGGAUUUAAUGAAUUCUUGGAACAUUGUGAAAAUAUAGAUGGAUUUCUGGCUGGAGUCUUCAGUAAAAAGCAACCUGGAAGGCUAAUUAAAACAGAGGAUAAAGAAAGGGAUAAGGAGCAUGAGAGGGAGGAUAGGAACAGAGACCGGGACAAGGAAAGAGAAAAGGAACGGGAAAGGCUGCAUCCAAAGGAAGGUCCUAGCCAGAAACCCUCGAUUGUCAAAGAGAAGUAUCUAUGCAAACCAAUAUCAGAGCUUGAUCUCUCAAAUUGUCAGCGAUGCACUCCAAGUUACCGGCUUCUACCUAAAAAUUACCCAAUGCCUCCGGCAGGCAACAAGACUGAUCUUGGUGCCACGGUUCUUAAUGAUCACUGGGUGUCAGUGACAUCAGGGAGUGAAGACUAUUCGUUUAAGCACAUGCGCAAGAAUCAGUAUGAAGAAAGUUUAUUUAGAUGCGAAGAUGACAGGUUCGAGUUGGAUAUGCUGUUGGAGUCAGUUAAUGCAGCAACUAAGCGCGUCGAGGAGUUGAUAGAAAAAAUGCAAGAUAACUCAGUAAAACCAGAAAGCCCAAUACGCAUCGAUGAGCACUUAACUCCUUUGAAUCUAAGGUGCAUUGAACGGUUAUAUGGUGACCAUGGUCUGGAUGUGAUGGACGUUCUUCGAAGAAAUGCUAGUGUUGCGCUGCCAGUUAUCUUAUCUAGGCUAAAACAAAAGCAGGAGGAAUGGUCAAGGUGUCGAUCAGAUUUCAACAAGGUUUGGGCUGACAUUUAUGCCAAAAAUUACCACAAGUCACUUGAUCAUCGCAGUUUCUAUUUCAAGCAGCAAGACUCGAAGAAUCUCAGCACAAAAUCUCUAUUGACCGAGAUUAAAGAAAUUAAUGAGAAGAAAAGAAAGGAAGACGAUGUCCUCAUUGCUAUUGCUGCUGGAAAUAGGCGGCCUAUAGUUCCCAACAUGUCAUUUGAGUAUGUAGAUGCAAAUAUCCACGACGAUCUUUAUAAGAUCGUGAAGUACUCGUGUGGAGAAGUCUGUGGCUCGGACCAACUGGACAAAGUGAUGAGGAUUUGGACAACUUUUCUGGAGCCUAUUUUGGGCAUUCCGUCUCGAUCCCACGGCGCCGUGGAUGCAGAUCUAACUAAACCCAAGAAUGGCAUCACAAAAUCUGGUAUUGCAAAUGUGGGGGAAAGCAAUGCUUCUCCUGAUGGAGUUGCUGCCCAGCAAGGCCAUGGUGAUGAAAGCAUGCAACAGGAGCAAGCACCAUCAGCUGUGGCUAGAUUGUCUAGGUUAGCGAAAGGAGUUGCAGCAGACUCCCAAAAUGGUUCCCAUGAUGCAGAUCGAACUGCUCGUAGAGAUGAGGAAGCAUCAAAUGCUGCACUAAAUGAAGUAUCUGCAGUAAGCACCCAGAACAUGCCUACCGAGAGAUCAGCAGGACAACAUAGCCAUAUGAAGGGAAACUCUGAAACCACGCCAGGAGUGAAUGCAUCUAAAAGUUCACAUGCUGGAGUUAGUAUGGCUGCCGGUGCCAGGGCUGGCCAUGAAGUAUUACCAUCUACUGAGGGUGGAGAGACUGGCAAGUCAGGAUCAUCUUUAAAUGGUGGGGCUACCAGCGAGGGUAACAAAGGGCGCCUAUUUAAUGAAGCUGCUGCGUCCCACAAUACAUCGAAAGUUGAACGAGAAGAAGGUGAAUUAUCGCCUAAUGGAGAUUUUGAAGAGGACAAUUUUGUGCCUUUCGAAGAUGGCGCAUCUAAAACAAAGGAAGGUUCUACAAGCAGAACAUUCAAGGUUAGACCUGGUCAAGUGGAGCCUCAUGCUGAGGCAGCCGGCGAGAACGAUGCUGAUGAUGAGGAAAGCACUCAAAGGUCUACCGAGGACAGUGAGAAUGCUUCUGAGGCCGGUGAAGAUGCAUCAGGAAGUGAAUCUGGUGAUGGCGAGCACGGUUCUCCCGAAGAUCACGAUGAGGAAGAAGAUAUGGAUCAUGAUCAGGAUCCGAAGGCAGAAAGUGAGGGUGAGGCAGAGGGGACAACUGAGACCCACGACGUUGAAGGAGGAAUGUCAUUACUCGGAAUAUCAUUGCCUUCAUCCGAACGCUUUCUGUACUCGGCUAAACCACUGGCCAAGCAUGUUCCCACAUCUUUACAUGGUCGGGAAGAUAGAUCGUCACAUGUAUUUUAUGGGAAUGAUUCAUUUUACAUCUUGUUCAGGCUGCACCAGAUGCUGUACGAACGACUGCUUUCAGCAAAGACAAACUCUUCGAGUGCUGAAAAGAAAUGGAGAACCUCCAAGGAUACAAACCCCCCUGACCUAUAUGCAAGGUUCAUAAAGGCACUCUACAACUUGCUUGAUGGCACUUCUGAUAAUACCAAAUUUGAGGAUGACUGCCGUGCUAUUAUUGGGACCCAGUCAUACGUUCUCUUUACUUUGGAUAAACUGAUAUACAAAGUUGUGAAGCAGCUUCAAGCUAUAGCGACAGAUGAAAUGGACAGCAAGCUUCUCCAGCUUUAUAUGUAUGAGAAGUCAAGAUCCCCUGGGAGGUUCUUUGAUCUGGUCUAUCAUGAAAACGCCCGUGUCCUGCUCCAUGAUGAGAGCAUGUAUCGAUUCGAAUGUUGCUCAAGUCCAAUGAGGGUGUCUAUUCAGCUGAUGGAAUAUGGUCAUGAGAAGCCUGAGGUGACUGCGGUAUCCAUUGAGCCAAAUUUUGCCUCUUAUCUUUUCAGCGAGUAUCUGUCAAAUUCGUCAGGCACGAUGCUGCCUGAAGGUGUCUUCCUUGGAAGGAACAAGCGGAAACAUUCAAAUGACGGCGAGCCUUCAGAUUCGUUGAAGGCCAUGGAUGGUAUCAAAGUUGCUAAUGGUCUUGAAUGCAAGAUAUCCUGCAAGACCUCUAAGGUCUCCUAUGUCCUUGACACCGAAGAUUUCUUGUUUCGGUUGAGAAAGAGGAGGCUUUCACCCGGUGGAAAUGUGGCCGACAAGUCGCCGACCUCCAAAAAAUAUGAUGCAAAAGUGCAGCGCUUUCAUUUAUUUCUAUCCAAGCCUUAA